rnacentral:rRNA from 1 species
AUUGAACGCUGGCGGCAUGCUUUACACAUGCAAGUCGAACGGUAACAGGUUAAGCUGACGAGUGGCGAACGGGUGAGUAAUGCAUCGGAACGUGCCCGGUCGUGGGGGAUAACGCAGCGAAAGCUGCGCUAAUACCGCAUACGAUCUAAGGAUGAAAGCGGGGGACCGUAAGGCCUCGCGCGAUCGGAGCGGCCGAUGUCAGAUUCGGUAGUUGGUGGGGUAAUGGCUCACCAAGCCAACGAUCUGUAGCUGGUCUGAGAGGACGACCAGCCACACGAGGACUGAGACACGGACCAGACACCGACGGGAGGCAGCAGUGGGGAAUUUAGGACAAUGGGCGAAAGCCUGAUCCAGCAAUGCCGCGUGAAGGAAGAAGGCCGUCGGGUUGUAAACUGCUUUUGUACGGAGCGAAAAGGUCUCCUCUAAUACAGGGGGCUCAUGACGGUACCGUAAGAAUAAGCACCGGCUAACUACGUGCCAGCCGCCGCCGUAA